AUUGAACGCUGGCGGCAGGCCUAACACAUGCAAGUCGAACGGUAACAGGAAGCAGCUUGCUGCUUCGCUGACGAGUGGCGGACGGGUGAGUAAUGUCUGGGAAACUGCCUGAUGGAGGGGGAUAACUACUGGAAACGGUAGCUAAUACCGCAUAACGUCGCAAGACCAAAGAGGGGGACCUUAGGGCCUCUUGCCAUCGGAUGUGCCCAGAUGGGAUUAGCUAGUAGGUGGGGUAACGGCUCACCUAGGCGACGAUCCCUAGCUGGUCUGAGAGGAUGACCAGCCACACUGGAACUGAGACACGGUCCAGACUCCUACGGGAGGCAGCAGUGGGGAAUAUUGCACAAUGGGCGAAAGCCUGAUGCAGCCAUGCCGCGUGUAUGAAGAAGGCCUUCGGGUUGUAAAGUACUUUCAGCGGGGAGGAAGGGAGUAAAGUUAAUACCUUUGCUCAUUGACGUUACCCGCAGAAGAAGCACCGGCUAACUCCGUG
rnacentral:rRNA from 1 species